GGGGUUUCUAAUGAAUCACAAGUUACAUGUUAUCCAGUGAUGCAUCAACACUACUGCAUCCAAAUGCUUCAAACAGGAAGAAGGGAUCAAGGUGGUCAAAGUAAGGCUCGUCGUCAAAAUUAAACGUCGUGUUAUUUGCAGGCCAUUCUUGUUUAAAUGGGUAUUCCAGUAGUUCUUCACCUCAUUAUCAGUUCGACCUGGAAGCCGACCGGCAAUCAAUGACCAUCUGAUGGAAGAAGUAACAGAGUUGAAACCAAACAUUCAGCAAGUUUGCUCUCUUUACUGUUGGUGACAAUACAACUUACAGAGUGUAAUGAUGGUUAGCAUGAUUGUAUUCUUCAUAUAUAUGACAGAAAAAUGGGCUCCCGGCACUGUCAUAUAUUACCCGCAGAAUGUUGCAAUGUUGGGUCAUGCAUGCAUUAUCAUUACUCUCUUUGCGCUGGUGGAUUGACGUGAGGGCCCUGGUUUGCUAAAAGCUUAUCUGCCUACUUCUCAAUCAAGACAGGAAGGUACUACUAACUAGACUAGAGCCACUACUACCUGGAGGGCUUAAGUAUUUAUCAAGCUUUCAUAAGUGAGAGGCAGUCAGAUGGAAGAAAAACAAUGGCAGCUUUUGCUGGAGGAAGCAGGCAAGCAGCCAAGUGAGUCAUAAGCCGUGAGGCAGCAGCAUAUUGUAAAGAUUCCAUAUCCCUUCAUUAAGCUACAGCCUAUCCAGUGCUGUCUCUCAUCACUGGGAUUUCUUUUUCCCUCCUUUUGCAUCUGUCUUCUUGCCUUUUCUGCCCUGUUUCUCCAUAUCAGGUUCAUCUACACACACUCUCAUUUCCACUUAAUCAUUAACGUUUCCAAAUAUCGGGUUAAUAAGGAUUGGCCUGUUUCUUGUUUGUUGUUUUUUCUUAGUAAUGGUAGUGUGUGAAAGGGAAUUUGAUAACUUUAUAUAUUGUUUAAUUAUGGUUUUGAAUUCUGUUUUGUGUCUUUGAAAGGACGUUGAACUUCAAAAUCGUUUUAAUAGGGUCCUUGAACUUUGAUUUUUUCUUUAGGGGAAGGGGUGUAAGGGAUUUUGAUAACUAUUUAUAAACAGUUUUGUUUAGCAGUAAACUACAGAUUUACUGGAAUUUUGAAGUGUCUUAAAAAAGAUGUGUAGGUUUUUUUAUUUUUAAUUUUGUGUUUAUAAGGAGGUUUUCUUUAUAAAUGUUUAAUAAGUUUUAAGAGGGGUGUAAGGGAUUUUGAUAGCUAUUUCUUAUUUAUGGUUUUUUUUAAAAAAAAAAAGUAUCAAGUUUGUGAGGAUUUUUUAUGGCUGUUGAUGUCUUUAAAGUUGUUGAACUUUGAAAUUUCAGACCCUUUCAUGAGUAAAAGAUGUUUCAUUUUGAACCAUUUUCCUUGUUUCUUUAAUAACAAGAUCACAGCGAUGAGGGGCACAGCACAGUGAUGGGUUAAUGGGUUUAUGAACAAAUAAAAGUUUAAUUUCAAAAAGGCACAUAUUAAAUUCUUAAAUUUGUCCUUUAUUUAUUUUUUUUAUUUUUCUGUAAGAGAGGUGAAGGGAUUUUGAUAACUAUUUUAAUAUUUUUGGUUUUUUGUUUUGUUUUGUUUAAGGUGAAAGAAGGGUUUGAAUAAUUUGUUCUCAUUCCAGAAAAAACAUGGAAAAAUAUUUUAUUAUUUUUCUUUUUUUGAAAAACAUAAGAAACUGUCUACAUCUGCACUCUUGAUUUUUAAGUAAUUUUCACUAAUGAUUAGUCUAUGAGAACAAAAAAUGGAGCAUCAGAAAGAAUUCAGAGGGAGGUGUAAAAUAUUGAGAUCUAAAGGACCAAAAAGAAAAUUCCAAACUGAAUUGCGUCAGGUCUAAAAUUUUGAAAUUUAGAGAUCAAAUAGGAAGUAUUCAUAACACUCAUGGGUUAUAAGUGAAAUAUGUUGAAACGUAAGAACUAGUGGAGCUGAUAUAUGAUCAGGUAUAUUAGGAGUUUAAGGGGUGUUAGAAUGCGUGAUGUGCAAACGAGGAUGGAAUAUAAAAAAAAAAAUAGGAUCAUGCCGUGAGGAAACAAUGUAUUACAAAUCAUAUUCAAAAUGUCCAUUUCAAACAUGGGUUAUAUCACGUUCUAAUUUUAUUACAUUACUCCAAUUCUCAGAACUUAGUUAGCACUUAUGUUAAUUGUAUUCUCAAUUCGUUUAGAAAUUACUUUGGAUCAAGUUGACUGCAUAAUAUUAAUAGAUUUAUGAAAUUUCAAAUACAUGGGUUAGAAAUAGAUUUCCAUUCUUUAAACUUCUCACCUUUUCAUAUUUCAUAAUCCAUACCACACAUUCACUUAUAUUUAGUGUGGCAACCUCAACUCAACCCCCUUUGUCACAUAUAUUUUUCUCCUCUUAUCUCUCUCUACUAACUCUUCUCUAUAUCUUCAUCAUGCUUUUCGUUUUUUCCUUUUCACACGUACACGUGCAUACAUACACAUGAUAUUAUAACUUAUUCUCUUCGUAUUAUUUUAUUUUAAGAAUAUGAGUAGCAUAAGUUUAAGAACCGUUUAAAAUAUAAAAACUAAUUAACUACUUGAUAAUGAUCUCACUUCCUACCUUUAAGCCUUUGAUUAGGCAUGAAUUGGUCUAGUGAUGGAAAAAAGUGACAUAGUUUCAAUGACUAAAAAAAAUCAUAAGGUUAAUUCAUAUGUACGAAUACUCGCACAUAUAAAAAGAAAAAAGUAAUUUUCUAUAAAUCAUAAAAAUAGGAAUUUGGGGUCGGAUUGUAUAGAGCCACAGUUAGGUAUAUACUAUCUAUCAAAAUGCUGUUCAAUUAUAUAACUCUCCUUUACUAUUUUUUUUUUCUGCCAUGGCAUAGAGCUACCUAGUCUUUUCCCUCUGCUCUUUUGUCCCUUCCUUUGCCUUACCCUACUCUAUGUUCCAAUAGUUACAUAUUUGGUCUAUUUCUAUAUAUAUAUAUCAAUCCACACAAAUGUGAAAAUAUUCUUCACUUCAAACAUAAACCUUCGUAACUUUGUCGGUCACCAUUGGUGAUAAUUGUCUUAACUUACCAUUUGACAUAAGAUGCCAUGAAAAAAUCAUAAAGCAAAAAAUGACUUUUUUUUUCUUUGGACAUAUAACACAUUUCACAUGUGUGAAAGCAUUUUGUAACUUUGUUGUUUGUGUAAAACAAAGAAACAACAGUAUUUUGUCUCAUGUACAAUUGUUACAUGCAAAAAAAUACAAGUUAAUACCUCAAUUGAGUCUUGCAAACAAAAGUGAGAAGAAAAAAAAGAAUGUACAGCCAACCAAAAGUUGAACAAACAAAAAGUAAGUACACCUUUUCAAAUUGCAAAAAACUUACUUAAAAACUUAUCAUUGACUCUUUGCAAGUCCGAACUAAACAAUUUUAAUUUUUAAACGUAGAUUUUCUAACUUUACAAUAGCUUUACGACCUGGAUUGCCUCCAUAUCCAAGUGAAAAUAAUGGAAAAUUACCACCAUAUGGCAUGUAAUGUAAAAAG